GACGAACGCUGGCGGCGUGCUUAACACAUGCAAGUCGAACGAUGAAGCCGGAGCUUGCUCUGGUGAAUUAGUGGCGAACGGGUGAGUAACACGUGAGUAACCUGCCCUUGACUCUGGGAUAACUGCUAGAAAUGGUAGCUAAUACCGGAUACGACCCUCGGAGGCAUCUUCAGGGGGUGGAAAGAAUUUCGGUCAAGGAUGGACUCGCGGCCUAUCAGCUAGUGGGUGAGGUAAUGGCUCACCAAGGCGACGACGGGUAGCCGGCCUGAGAGGGUGACCGGCCACACUGGGACUGAGACACGGCCCAGACUCCUACGGGAGGCAGCAGUGGGGAAUAUUGCACAAUGGGCGCAAGCCUGAUGCAGCAACGCCGCGUGAGGGAUGACGGCCUUCGGGUUGUAAACCUCUUUUAGUAGGGAAGAAGCGAAAGUGACGGUACCUGCAGAAAUAGCACCGGCUAACUACGUGCCAGCCGCCGCCGUAA
rnacentral:rRNA from 1 species